AGAAACGUAUUAAUAAAUAAAUAUAAUUUCAAAAUUUUCAAAUACGAGAUGACCACGAAGAUUCAUAUUCUAUGAAUCAUCCUCAUCACCUUGAUCAUCUUGAGUAACUAUUCUGUACUGGGCUGGCCAAGAAGUCGCUGGACG